GUCUCAGGCCCUAUCAGCCUGAAGGCGCCCGAUCUCGUCUGAUCUCGUGAAGCUAAGCAGGGUCGGGCCUGGUUAGGAUCUUGGAUGGGAGACCACCUGGGAAUCCCGGGUGCUCGAGGCU
ensembl:rRNA 5S_rRNA 5S ribosomal RNA